GUCCUACGGGGGGCAGCAGUGAGGAAUAUUGGUCAAUGGGCGGGAGCCUGAACCAGCCAAGUCGCGUGAGGGAAGACGGUCCUAUGGAUUGUAAACCUCUUUAGGCGGGGAGCAAUGCCGGGCACGUGUGCCCGGAGGGAGAGUACCCGCAGAAUAAGCAUCGGCUAACUCCGUGCCAGCAGCCGCGGUAAUACGGAGGAUGCGAGCGUUAUCCGGAUUUAUUGGGUUUAAAGGGUGCGCAGGCGGCCUGUUAAGUCAGCGGUAAAAGCCCGGGGCUCAACCCCGGCGAGCCGUUGAAACUGGCG
rnacentral:rRNA from 1 species